UCGGGGUGCAGCAGGCGCGAAAACUUUACAAUGCGGGAAACCGUGAUAAGGGGACACCGAGUGCCAGCAUCAUAUGCUGGCUGUCCAGGUGUGUAAAAUACACCUGUUAGCAAGGGCCGGGCAAGACCGGUGCCAGCCGCCGCGGUAACACCGGCGGCCCGAGUGGUGAUCGUGAUUAUUGGGUCUAAAGGGUCCGUAGCCGGUUUGGUCAGUCCUCCGGGAAAUCUGACAGCUCAACCGUUAGGCUUUCGGGGGAUACUGCCAGGCUUGGAACCGGGAGAGGUAAGAGGUACUACAGGGGUAGGAGUGAAAUCUUGUAAUCCCUGUGAGACCACCUGUGGCGAAGGCGUCUUACCAGAACGGGUUCGACGGUGAGGGACGAAAGCUGGGGGCACGAACCGGAUUAGAUACCCGGGUAGUCCCAGCCGUAAACGAUGCUCGCUAGGUGUCAGGCAUGGCGCGACCGUGUCUGGUGCCGCAGGGAAGCCGUGAAGCGAGCCACCUGGGAAGUACGGCCGCAAGGCUGAAACUUAAAGGAAUUGGCGGGGGAGCAC
rnacentral:rRNA from 1 species